rnacentral:tRNA from 1 species
GUUAAGAUGGCAGAGCCUGGCAAUUGCAUAAAAUUUAAAAUUUUAAAACCAGAGGUUCAACCCCUCUUCUUAACA